rnacentral:rRNA from 1 species
AUUGAACGCUGGCGGCAUGCUUUACACAUGCAAGUCGAACGGCAGCGCGGGCUUCGGCCUGGCGGCGCGUGGCGCACGGGUGUGUAAUGCAUCGGAACGUGCCCAGUAGUGGGGGAUAGCACGGCGAAAGCCGGAUUAAUACCGCAUACGACCUGAGGGUGAAAGCGGGGGAGCGAAAGGCCGCGCGCUAUUGGAGCGGCCGAUGCGGGAGUAGCUAGUUGGUGGGGUAAAGGCUUACCAAGGCGGCGAUCCGUAGCUGGUCUGAGAGGACGACCAGCCACACUGGGACGGAGACACGGCCCAGACUCCUACGGGAGGGAGCAGUGGGGAAUGUUGGACAAUGGGGGCAACCCUGGUCCAGCCAUGCCGCGUGUGAGAAGAAGGCCUUCGGGUUGUAAACCGCUUUUGUUCGGGAAGAAAUCCUCUGGGCUAAUACCCCGGGGGGAUGACGGUACCGGAAGAAUAAGCACCGGCUAACUACGUG